UCUCUCUCCUCUCUAACCAGCAGGAUUAGGAAGUGGCUUCGCUUGGGCUUGUCUGGGCUUGUUCAGGCCUCAGCCUGCCUCUGUCGGUGAUCAGAAGGAUCGGGGGUGGCUCUAAAGGAAACUUGCCUCAUAGCUUUGCAGCCACUGCGCUGGCCUCAGAGCUUCCGACAAGCCAGCCAAAGAAAUCUGCUUGCCUUUCUGCUGGGUCCUUUAUCCAGGUUCCCUGACAGGAGGGUGACGAGGGGCGGGGCCGCUACUGCACAAACAAUGCUGAUCUAGGAGAGUGACCGCACGGUGCAACCGGUGCAGGCAGACGGCGCUGGGCUCAGGUGCUGCAGUGCCUGUCUCGCAGGCAGGAGAAUGAAGAUGGAUCUGCUCAGAGUGAGUUCUUCUCCAAUCCUGAGCAUGGCUCAAAAAUGGCCGUGUGCACUUAAGGGAAACCACACAUGUGUCUCAGAAGCUGUGUGUUAGGCAUUUGGAAAUGAGUAAUAUUUCCAUUCUCCUGAAGGAGGCUCUCUGGAACUAGAGGACUAAGGUAGAUUCUCCUACCGUUUUUCAGUCAGAGAAAGAAAAAGGGAGACAGAAUAACCUGCCACAGCUCCCAUCUCGUCAGUUAAUGCCAGCUGUGAGUGUUUCUUUGGCAGUGUCUUAGCUGGUUGUUGUGAGCAAUAAUCAAGGAAGCAAUCAGCAAGUAUACUGCCCUAGAAGUGCUGCACGUUGGGCCCACACCACAUCUCGACGACACACAAGGAGGCUGCCCAUCUGGAGUGGAAUGCGGCCCCGUUGGUCCCCUCUCCUUUGUGCUGGGUUGCAGAAUGGUGUGGUGGGAGCAGAAGACGGAGGUGAGAGGUGCUGAAGGAUGCCAAGAUAACAUGGUGAUUGUAUCAGAGGUGCCAAAAGCAGCUGAACUGAGCAUUGCAAGGGGGUGCUUGCUCAUUUUCCCCUCUAUCCUCCUACCCAUCUCCACCACUGCUUCAAUUAUGCCUGUUAGUGAUGCAGCAAAAACCUCUGGCUAUUGGGAAGAGUCUCUUUGGGUUCAGGGCCUGGAGAAGGAAAAGUUGAGACUGAUUUUGGCCCUAGUGUUGCUUGUUCCUGUAGUCAU